UCCGUGCGUGUCCGCUGCCAUUCCUAACCCUUUGCUGGUUAUAAGGCCUUCCCUGUCAAAUCUUUGAUUCGGACGAAGCCGAGGUGGACCGGGGAGCGGGAGAGGACCAGAUGAGAAUGGACAGUACCCGGAAGGGCUCGAGCCUGGGACAUCUUCGUCUGACAGGAUUCGGAUGCUGGUUCGUGUAACAGGAUUUGGAGCCGGUGGCUGUGCCGAAGCGUGACGCGUCCUUGGAAUUGAAUGUCAACAGUGAUCGUGUUGACUGAGGGACGCGCACCGUGCCUACCGAGAGCUUACGUAUGCCUGCCGUAAAGCGGGCCCGCUUGGCAACCCCAUUCUACUUGCCUAGAUACGCACCUGGAGCCUUAUGACCAGCAUAGGGUUAACUUGGGAGAUACGAUUGAGCAAUAUAAAUGUUUAAUAAAAAUGAGCAGUGUACAGUUAUGGAUUAUUCUUAGGAGAGAAACAAAGAAAAAAAGCCUUCACACUGGACAGAUGAAAAUUCGAAAAGCUUUCACAAUUACAUUUUCAUAUUUCCCGCCUCGCGCUUACCUAUACCCGAACUCAUUGUAGGGGCGCCUCGUGCAAUUGGACGCGAACCGGGAUCCGUGGCUCGAAUUUGAAUUUUCGCGGCAGUCGCGUACGAAAGAAAAGUAUUAACGGACAGAAAGUACGGUCGAUCCUACAACAGUUCGGCGAAUAAGGAAGCGUUUCCAUGGGCACCUUUAUGCUCGGGUAACCUCAAUGCGUAAACAAGCUUGUAUAAGACCGUACAGCGGUAAGGAAUGCAUUUGGCAGGGACUAUAGCCGUACAUUCACAUCGCAUCACGUUCGAUGGGAGCACAGAGAAGAUUCUGUAGGAUCUACCUUACCAGGCAUUCUGGACAAUAAUACAAACAGCAAACAAGCCGACGUACGAGGAGACACUUUUCUUAACGAUUAAUCCGACGGACAAAUGUGCGGGGAAGUUUUCCUGGAAAUGAAGGAUCUGACGUGUCGAUUGUCUGCGUCGCGCGGGUCAACGGAAUUUGGCGUUACGAGCGAACGAGAGAUAGAGAGAGAGGCACGGAAUUCAUGAAAAAAUAUUUU